UACUUGUGUAUACGGCGCAGACAAAUGGAA
rnacentral:piRNA from 1 species